UUCAGCUCCUGGCAAACCUACCAAAUUAUAAACGUAAAAUGUUUGUUGGCAGUUUCACUCAUACAGUUUAAAAAACUGGUUUUCAAGAUUAUAGGUGGACUCUAUUCCCACAGAUUUCCUCAGGGAACGAAACCACGGCUAACAAGGCAUUAGCGCAAUGGAGAUCGGGAGCUGGGGGUGUUCCUUUCCUAAGGCUGUGAAAAAGGGUGCAAUUCAGAGUGCUGGUUCUAACCUGCAGAGCUAAACUGCUUGGAAACAAAGUAUCCAAAGGACCAUCUUCUCCCACAUGAACAUGCCCAUUCAUCAACAACUCCUUCUGAAGAGACACAGAUCUGGGAACUUGUGAUCAGACCUUGCAAAUACAAGACUGCCAAUAGGAAGCUGGUGAAGAAAAAAAAAGGGCGAGUCUGUAGGCUGUUCUGAUUUGUUGUGGGAAGUUACUGAUAUAUUGUGUGAUUUUUUUGUUGUUGUUGUUCAAGACUGAAGUUUCUGGCUGGCGUUUCAGUUUCUGCCUAGUGAGAGUGGCUGGAGCUUGCUGCAUAGUUGAGUCACUAAGUAAUAGUGUGUAAUUAGUAAUUCACAGGUCACUGCAGCAAAGAAGCCAUAAAACUGUGAUACCCACGA